CGCCUCUUGAAACUACAUAAGAGGUCCAGCCUGCCCAGUGACUAAGUUCAACGGCCGCGGUAUCCUAACCGUGCGAAGGUAGCGUAAUCACUUGUUCUUUAAAUGAGGACUAGUAUGAAUGGCACCACGAGGGUUAUGCUGUCUCCUUUUUCUAAUCAAUGAAACUGAUCCCCCCGUGAAGAAGCGGGGAUAUAUUUAUAAGACGAGAAGACCCUAUGGAGCUUUAAACCAUGUAACACUGGCUUUCACAUUAAAAUAUUCCAGAAUUUUCAUAGUUACUCUAGCCAUUAUGAUUACUAGUUUUAGGUUGGGGUGACCACGGAGCAAAAAUUAACCUCCAUGUUGAAAGGAGCUACUCCUGAGCCAAAGGCCACGACUUUAAGCACUAAUAAAUUAACAUUAAUUGACCCAAUAUUUUUGAUCAACGAACCAAGUUACCCUAGGGAUAACAGCGCA
rnacentral:rRNA from 1 species